AUGAACGCUGGCGGCGUGCCUAAUACAUGCAAGUCGAGCGAACGGACGAGAAGCUUGCUUUUCUGAUGUUAGCGGCGGACGGGUGAGUAACACGUGGAUAACCUACCUAUAAGACUGGGAUAACUUCGGGAAACCGGAGCUAAUACCGGAUAAUAUUUUGAACCGCAUGGUUCAAAAGUGAAAGACGGUCUUGCUGUCACUUAUAGAUGGAUCCGCGCUGCAUUAGCUAGUUGGUAAGGUAACGGCUUACCAAGGCAACGAUGCAUAGCCGACCUGAGAGGGUGAUCGGCCACACUGGAACUGAGACACGGUCCAGACUCCUACGGGAGGCAGCAGUAGGGAAUCUUCCGCAAUGGGCGAAAGCCUGACGGAGCAACGCCGCGUGAGUGAUGAAGGUCUUCGGAUCGUAAAACUCUGUUAUUAGGGAAGAACAUAUGUGUAAGUAACUGUGAACAUCUUGACGGUACCUAAUCAGAAAGCCGCGGCUAACUACGUG
rnacentral:rRNA from 1 species